CACGUAGGGGCGAGCGUUGUCCGGAAUUACUGGGCGUAAAGGGCGCGCAGGCUGUUAUGCGAGUCUGCUGUGAAAUGUACCGGCUCAACCGGUGCCUUGCGGCGGAUACUGCAUAGCUGGAGUACUGGAGAGGGAAGUGGAAUUCCCGGUGUAGCGGUGAAAUGCGUAGAUAUCAUGUGGAACACCGGAGGCGAAGGCGAGUCACUGGAACGGAUCUGACGCUGAGGCACGAAAGCGUGGGGAGCAAACAGGAUUA
rnacentral:rRNA from 1 species